rnacentral:tRNA from 1 species
GCAUCCAUGGCUAAAUGGUUAAAGAUUUCAACUCAUAAUUGGCGAAUUCAUAGGUUCAAUUCCUACUGGAUGCA